CCCUUAGAUGUCCGGGGCUGCACGCGCGCUACACUGAAUGAAUCAGCGUGCUAGAAAACCUUGUUUGACAUGGCUAGGUAACCCAUUGAAAAUCAUUCGUGAUUGGGAUCGGGACUUGCAAAUGUGUCCCUUGAACGAGGAAUUCCCAGUAAGUGCGGGUCAUCAGCUCGCGUUGAUUACGUCCCUGCCCUUUGUACACACCGCCCGUCGCUACUACCGAUUGAAUGGUUUAGUGAGGACUCCUGAUUGGCGCCGCCGCCCCGGCAACGGAGCAGUGGACUGCCGAAAAGUUGUUCAAACUUGAUCAUUUAGAGGAAGUAAAAGUCGUAACA
rnacentral:rRNA from 1 species